rnacentral:lncRNA from 1 species
UGUGACAAAUAUGCAUCUCCCUCGUUAACGGGUAUGCAAACAAGCGAAAAUACAAUGCUUUCUUCCUGGAGAGCUUUGUAGAAUACAUAUAUCUCACAUUUAUGUGUGCUGUUAUGCAGAGUAAUGAUGGCAGAUACUGGUGUAGCAGGAGCUUGGCCUGAAGCCCGUGCCUGAUUCUUCUCUGUGUGAGGACUUGGUUCUUGGUUUGGCUGUGGGGAACAAAUUUGGAACUGUCGUCAACUGCAUGACUUCAGUUCAGGUUUAAAACCUUAUCUAGCUUAUUGUGAUUGUCUUGAUUAUGCCAUUAAAGAACUUUUAAGAUUUGUGUAUUAUGCCACUAAGACAUAUUACCUUCUCUGUGUUAAAAAGGCAUGUUCUGCUUAAACGACUCGGCCAACUACGGCUCUCAGUUGUAGUCUUCAUGGUUUUGUUCCUCCAUUCUUGGCACGUCCUUAUCUGCAAAUGAAUGUCAACCUUCCAUUACUAUCUGCCU